CCCCCUGCGGCCUGGCACAGAAGUUAUCCACCUAACUGGAAAUGCAGACUUGGAGAGGGGCACCAGGCCCAGGGCAAGGUGGGCAGGAAGCCCUGGGACCAGCAGAGCCUGUGGAAGAGAAGAUCCUCACUCCAUCCUGCCCUGGGCCAAGCUGACUGUGUGGACCAAAUCCUCGGGCUUCCGCCUCUGGCUUUUGGAGAAGGGUCUCGGCGAGGGAGUUCUGCCCAGCUGCAGGUGAAGGGGUGGCAUUGCUUCCCAACAGCCGCAGCUCCUGCCAGGCAGCCCUGUCCCUACUGCUCCCUCCUCCAGGCUCCCAUGCCUGCCCCCCUCACCUAUCCAGGCUGAGGAGGGUAAGGGCUCCCGGCUAUUGCUGGCCCCGGGGUGCUCUCCAGCCCUUGUGGGUUUCCCUUAACCUCACCCGCACCUUUGUAAAUAGUCCUUCCGUAAACAUCCUUCAUUC
rnacentral:lncRNA from 10 species